CAGAAACUCCCUCCGUCCGAAAAAGCUUGGCCCAAGCUUGUCCCUCAAGUGGAUGUAUCUAGCACUAACUUGGUGCUAGAUACAUCCAUUUGAGGGACAAGCUUUUCCGGACGGAGGGAGUAUGAA
rfam:Triticum aestivum genome assembly, contig: Triticum_aestivum_CS42_TGACv1_scaffold_513137_6BS